GGUUAAGCGACUAAGCGUACACGGUGGAUGCCCUGGCAGUCAGAGGCGAUGAAGGACGUGCUAAUCUGCGAUAAGCGUCGGUAAGGUGAUAUGAACCGUUAUAACCGGCGAUUUCCGAAUGGGGAAACCCAGUGUGAUUCGUCACACUAUCAUUAACUGAAUCCAUAGGUUAAUGAGGCGAACCGGGGGAACUGAAACAUCUAAGUACCCCGAGGAAAAGAAAUCAACCGAGAUUCCCCCAGUAGCGGCGAGCGAACGGGGAGCAGCCCAGAGCCUGAAUCAGUGUGUGUGUUAGUGGAAGCGUCUGGAAAGGCGUGCGAUACAGGGUGACAGCCCCGUACACAAAAAUGCACAUGCUGUGAGCUCGAUGAGUAGGGCGGGACACGUGGUAUCCUGUCUGAAUAUGGGGGGACCAUCCUCCAAGGCUAAAUACUCCUGACUGACCGAUAGUGAACCAGUACCGUGAGGGAAAGGCGAAAAGAACCCCGGCGAGGGGAGUGAAAAAGAACCUGAAACCGUGUACGUACAAGCAGUGGGAGCACGCUUAGGCGUGUGACUGCGUACCUUUUGUAUAAUGGGUCAGCGACUUAUAUUCUGUAGCAAGGUUAACCGAAUAGGGGAGCCGAAGGGAAACCGAGUCUUAACUGGGCGUUAAGUUGCAGGGUAUAGACCCGAAACCCGGUGAUCUAGCCAUGGGCAGGUUGAAGGUUGGGUAACACUAACUGGAGGACCGAACCGACUAAUGUUGAAAAAUUAGCGGAUGACUUGUGGCUGGGGGUGAAAGGCCAAUCAAACCGGGAGAUAGCUGGUUCUCCCCGAAAGCUAUUUAGGUAGCGCCUCGUGAAUUCAUCUCCGGGGGUAGAGCACUGUUUCGGCAAGGGGGUCAUCCCGACUUACCAACCCGAUGCAAACUGCGAAUACCGGAGAAUGUUAUCACGGGAGACACACGGCGGGUGCUAACGUCCGUCGUGAAGAGGGAAACAACCCAGACCGCCAGCUAAGGUCCCAAAGUCAUGGUUAAGUGGGAAACGAUGUGGGAAGGCCCAGACAGCCAGGAUGUUGGCUUAGAAGCAGCCAUCAUUUAAAGAAAGCGUAAUAGCUCACUGGUCGAGUCGGCCUGCGCGGAAGAUGUAACGGGGCUAAACCAUGCACCGAAGCUGCGGCAGCGACACUGUGUGUUGUUGGGUAGGGGAGCGUUCUGUAAGCCUGCGAAGGUGUGCUGUGAGGCAUGCUGGAGGUAUCAGAAGUGCGAAUGCUGACAUAAGUAACGAUAAAGCGGGUGAAAAGCCCGCUCGCCGGAAGACCAAGGGUUCCUGUCCAACGUUAAUCGGGGCAGGGUGAGUCGACCCCUAAGGCGAGGCCGAAAGGCGUAGUCGAUGGGAAACAGGUUAAUAUUCCUGUACUUGGUGUUACUGCGAAGGGGGGACGGAGAAGGCUAUGUUGGCCGGGCGACGGUUGUCCCGGUUUAAGCGUGUAGGCUGGUUUUCCAGGCAAAUCCGGAAAAUCAAGGCUGAGGCGUGAUGACGAGGCACUACGGUGCUGAAGCAACAAAUGCCCUGCUUCCAGGAAAAGCCUCUAAGCAUCAGGUAACAUCAAAUCGUACCCCAAACCGACACAGGUGGUCAGGUAGAGAAUACCAAGGCGCUUGAGAGAACUCGGGUGAAGGAACUAGGCAAAAUGGUGCCGUAACUUCGGGAGAAGGCACGCUGAUAUGUAGGUGAAGUCCCUCGCGGAUGGAGCUGAAAUCAGUCGAAGAUACCAGCUGGCUGCAACUGUUUAUUAAAAACACAGCACUGUGCAAACACGAAAGUGGACGUAUACGGUGUGACGCCUGCCCGGUGCCGGAAGGUUAAUUGAUGGGGUCAGCGCAAGCGAAGCUCUUGAUCGAAGCCCCGGUAAACGGCGGCCGUAACUAUAACGGUCCUAAGGUAGCGAAAUUCCUUGUCGGGUAAGUUCCGACCUGCACGAAUGGCGUAAUGAUGGCCAGGCUGUCUCCACCCGAGACUCAGUGAAAUUGAACUCGCUGUGAAGAUGCAGUGUACCCGCGGCAAGACGGAAAGACCCCGUGAACCUUUACUAUAGCUUGACACUGAACAUUGAGCCUUGAUGUGUAGGAUAGGUGGGAGGCUUUGAAGUGUGGACGCCAGUCUGCAUGGAGCCGACCUUGAAAUACCACCCUUUAAUGUUUGAUGUUCUAACGUUGACCCGUGAUCCGGGUUGCGGACAGUGUCUGGUGGGUAGUUUGACUGGGGCGGUCUCCUCCUAAAGAGUAACGGAGGAGCACGAAGGUUGGCUAAUCCUGGUCGGACAUCAGGAGGUUAGUGCAAUGGCAUAAGCCAGCUUGACUGCGAGCGUGACGGCGCGAGCAGGUGCGAAAGCAGGUCAUAGUGAUCCGGUGGUUCUGAAUGGAAGGGCCAUCGCUCAACGGAUAAAAGGUACUCCGGGGAUAACAGGCUGAUACCGCCCAAGAGUUCAUAUCGACGGCGGUGUUUGGCACCUCGAUGUCGGCUCAUCACAUCCUGGGGCUGAAGUAGGUCCCAAGGGUAUGGCUGUUCGCCAUUUAAAGUGGUACGCGAGCUGGGUUUAGAACGUCGUGAGACAGUUCGGUCCCUAUCUGCCGUGGGCGCUGGAGAACUGAGGGGGGCUGCUCCUAGUACGAGAGGACCGGAGUGGACGCAUCACUGGUGUUCGGGUUGUCAUGCCAAUGGCACUGCCCGGUAGCUAAAUGCGGAAGAGAUAAGUGCUGAAAGCAUCUAAGCACGAAACUUGCCCCGAGAUGAGUUCUCCCUGACUCCUUGAGAGUCCUGAAGGAACGUUGAAGACGACGACGUUGAUAGGCCGGGUGUGUAAGCGCAGCGAUGCGUUGAGCUAACCGGUACUAAUGAACCGUGAGGCUUAACCUU
rnacentral:rRNA from 2 species